UGGAACAGCUAUGUGGCUAAUGAGCUAGACUAAGAGAAGUUGGUGCUUCUGUUAGAAGAGCACAACUGAAGUGUUAACGGUUUUCUGUACCUGCCUGUGGUAAAACCUGAAACAGGACUCAGGAAAUCCUGUGUACUUCAAGAUGCAAUACUGAGGUGAUCUAGAAGAAGUUGACACCCCAUAAUGCCUUGUGGCAUCCAGGAUGGAGGAACUGUAAAUCACUGAUGUUGGGCAGGAGGCUGAGAAGCGCUUAUGCAUGUGCAGGACGAGCUUUGGAGGAGGAGUGCUAGGACCUUCUAGCAACAAGUCCCACAGCACUGGCAACAGCCUCUCUAUCUCCCUACAAAGCCCAGGCCUGGAAAACUAGGCACAACAACAACCUGCAGAGAGUUGUAUCGUUUUCCUCUUUCUUGCUUAGGUUUUGAUUUCAUUGCAUGUACUUCCCAGCACCUAACACAAGUUUUUCACAGGGCAAUAAUAAAAACCUAGGCUUGAAAUAAAUGCAAACCUCAAGCCACUGAACUGAA